GAAAGCAGAGAUGGGGAUGAGGUUUGAAGGUUGCCAGGCACCAUCCACCCCUUCCGUCCUUCUCAACCCCAUCUUCUUUCCAAUCUCACUGCAACCCCAGGGGCUUGACACAGUCAGAGGGAGGGAGGUUAGAUUCACCCGAGGCUGGGGACGUGUCCCCUCGCCCACCUGGGAACAGGUGAGAGGGAGAGAAAUGAGCCCGAUCUGCACUGGGAAGGCUGGGAUUGGGAACGCAGGGGCACCCGGUAUCGGAGGACUGUGCAUUUUGAAUGUAGGUGAGAAAUUGGAGCCAUUUGAAGGCACAAAAUGAGGGAAGCUCCCAUGGG